rnacentral:rRNA from 1 species
UACGGAGGGGGCUAGCGUUGUUCGGAAUUACUGGGCGUAAAGCGCGCGUAGGCGGACCUGCAAGUCGGGGGUGAAAGCCCGAGGCUCAACCUCGGAACUGCCUUCGAUACUGCGGGUCUCGAGUCCGGGAGAGGUGAGUGGAAUUCCUAGUGUAGAGGUGAAAUUCGUAGAUAUUAGGAAGAACACCAGUGGCGAAGGCGGCUGCUCUGGGACGGUACUGACGCUGAGACGCGAAAGCGUGGGGAGCGAACAGGAU